UUAAUCUUUGUUAAAUUAGUAGUUAUUCGGAUAUUAUGCCCCAAUACAAUAUCUGAGAUCCGUUAAAGAAAUAAAACGAGCAGACGAUGGCACAACUGUUCUGCUCUACACAAAAAAAAAAAAAAUGCACGGAGUUAGCUUUGUGGCUAACAUGCUAAUCCCGGAAGAGGAGGGACCGUCAGACGGAAGCGCUAUUUGAUCGCCUCUCCUGGAGAUUCAGGUUCAUUUCAGGCAGAAUGAAGAGAGAACCAGACCUCUGUGGCAUUCAGCAGAUUAUUAUUUUUCAAAGAAUACAACACGGCAGCAAGAAAAAUGCAGAAGCUCACCUGUUUCCAAGAAGCAGAACCGCUGAGACGUGACACCGGGCGUUGAGGCUGAUUUGGAUGCAGAGAAAGAAGAAUGAACGGGCUGAAUUCAGUCCAAGGACGAUGUGAUAAUCCUGAGAUCAAAGCGAGAGUGGGACAGCUGGGAGCAAUGUCAAAAAUUUGUGCCAUCUGGAUGAAGAUUUGCUGUUUCAGAUGAAGGUGUUCAUUGACUAGGUGGUCUUAAGAGCAGGGAGCAAUGUAGAAUAUUUGAACGAACUGGAUGAAGAUUUGUGGUUUCAGAUGAAGUUUUUCAUUGACCAGCUGGGUUUGAGAGCAGUUCAUUUUCAACUCUACAAAGACGACAGCCGUCCUGCUGAUGAUCGGGUUUCUGUAACGGUGUCUCAACACAUUUUUAUUUAUUUUUUUUGAUAUAUUUCUGCUGCCUUCGAGCUGACAGAACAAACCAGAGUGAGGCCACUUCCAGUUGAUGGGACCCGUCAUUUAUUUUGUCAUGUUGGAUUUGCUGAAUAAACAGUAACUAAUUCUUGAAUGCUCAUGUUUGGUGUUGUAAUUCUACUGUAAAUUAUUUUUAUGUGGUUUUGGGGGGAAUAUUCACAAAAUUGUAUUAAACACUUAAAGGUGGUGAUUUAAUGGUGUAUUUGGACAAAAAUCUACUUGUUCCAAGCAGAUUUAUAGACAAUCCAAUAAUUAGUUGUUAUUUUUUACCAGCAUUCCAACAUGCCAGUUUUUCAUGCUUGAAGAAAAACAUGUAGUCAGUGUCAUGGUCGAGCAUUUCCACCUUCAAACUGCAGCGUAUUGACAAAAUUCUCAGAGAUUCAGACUUGCCUUGUUAACAUGGUAUUUCUAUGCUGGAAGACAUUAAAAAAAAAAAACAUGCAGUCAUUGUCAUGACUGAGCAUUUCCACCUUGAAACUGCAGCGUACGUAAAGAUUCUCAGAUAUUCAGACUUUGAGGUGCUCUUCUAUAUUACUUGUCUUCAGAAUCUGUCUCCGACUGGAGUAUUUAUGGCUUGUAAAGGGUUUUACAGUGUUUGAGUCAGAGGUGAGCUGGUGUGCUAAGACUGCAGCCAGUGGAGAGAUGUGGGUGUAGAAGGAAGUUGAGACUUUGUAGAAGUCGCAACGCCAUUUUGUUUUCUUUUUUUAAUGCACACUGCCUGUCCAAAAAAAAGUCGCCACCUGGAUUUUUUAUUUUUUUUUAUCACAGAUUGUGAGUUUGGAAGCAGGUUGUUCAGCAUUUUAUUGCUAUUGUGUGUCUGUUACUGUGCUGUUCUGACCUGUCGAUGCAAAUUAGUCAGAAUCUGUAAACUACAAUGACAUUUACAUUAAAAAUAAAUGGUUGUAAUAGAUAAUAGAGUCGUGCCAUUGAGCUUAUCACUUGUUAUAAAGUAUUCAGUAUCUUCCAUGCAUGUUUUUUCGUCCUUUUCAUUGCAUUUUUAUCGCAGAUUGUGACUUUAAAUUGGGUUUGAAAGCAGGUUGUUCAGCAUUUUGUUGCUACAGUAUAUGUACUGCCUGUUAUUGUGUUGUUUGGACUUGGAGAGGGACUGUAGAUGUAAAUUAGCUACAAGUUGUAAACUGGUG
ensembl:lncRNA